rnacentral:rRNA from 1 species
UACGUAGGGGGCGAGCGUUGUCCGGAUUUAUUGGGCGUAAAGAGCGUGUAGGCGGCCAGGUAGGUCUGCUGUGAAAACUCGAGGCUCAACCUCGAGACGUCGGCGGAAACCAUCUGGCUAGAGUCCGGAAGAGGAGAGUGGAAUUCCUGGUGUAGCGGUGAAAUGCGCAGAUAUCAGGAAGAACACCCGUGGCGAAGGCGGCUCUCUGGAACGCAACUGACGCUGAGACGCGAAAGCGUGGGGAGCAAACAGG